CACUGACAACAACAGGUGUACAGUGCAUUCGGAAAAUAUUCAGACCCCUUCACUUUUUCCACGUUUUGUUAUGUUACAGCCUUAUUUUAAAAUGGAUCAAAUUCUUUUUUGUUAUCAUCAAUCUA